CUCUUCAAGACUCAAGGGAUGAGGAGCUGGUGCACCCACAACUUCUAACCGGGGCAUCUUUCUGCAGGCAGCAAUUGCACAGCUUAAUUCUUCUAGACUGAGCCACUUCAGAUUUAUGCCAGCGGAAAGCAAACAUUGUUUAGCUUGGAUUUAAAUCACAAUAACACCGAGGGAAGAUGAAUGACAGUGCUAUUGAAUGUGGCUAAAAUUGGAUACUUCAGCACAGGAUGAGCCCCAGGAGAGGCCUGGAUACUGACCACUGGUUCCGACAGUCUUCAAAGAUAACAGUGUUCAUGAGGACAGACAUCAUCUGGAAGAUGGAAUCGCAUGAAGCCUGGGACCCUUGGCCAAGAGCUUGCCCAAAUCCCAGACUUUCUAUGUACUCCUUCCAUC